rnacentral:rRNA from 1 species
GAUGAACGCUAGCUACAGGCUUAACACAUGCAAGUAGAGGGACCGGCGCACGGGUGAGUAACACGUAUCCAACCUGCCCUUUACUCGGGGAUAGCCUUUCGAAAGAAAGAUUAAUACACGAUGUAAAGGAUGGGGAUGCGUUCCAUUAGGUUGUUGGGUAGGUAACGGCUCACCAAGCCUUCGAUGGAUAGGGGUUCUGAGAGGAAGGUCACCCACCUUGUAACUGAGACACGGUCCAAACUCCGACUGGAGGCAGCAGGGAGGAAUAUUGGUCAAUGGGCGUUAGCCUGAACCAGCCAAGUAGCGUGAAGGAUGAAGGCUUAUGGGUCGUAAACUUCUUUUAUAUAAGAAUAUGUAUUAUAUGAAUAAGGAUCGGCUAACUCCGUGCCAGCAGCCGCGGUAAUUC